rnacentral:rRNA from 1 species
UAACCUACCUCUUAGCGGGGGAUAACUAUUGGAAACGAUAGCUAAUACCGCAUAAAAAGUCGGCAUUGCAUGAUGUUGACUUGAAAGGUGCAAAUGCAUCACUGAGAGAUGGACCUGCGUUGUAUUAGCUAGUUGGUGAGGUAACGGCUCACCAAGGCGACGAUACAUAGCCGACCUGAGAGGGUGAUCGGCCACACUGGGACUGAGACACGGCCCAG